AAUGUCUAAAACGUUUAAGAAUUACUAUUACUUUAAGCUCUUCUUCUAAAGAUACCACAGCAACUUUACUUUAGUUUGUCAUAUAGUUUGUUUAUUUUAAUCAAAUUAAUUCUUCCUUUUCAGAUAACAUUGUCUGAAACUUUUAUGUAACACUGUAUGCUGAAGUGGCAGACACAGCUGAUAUUCUUUCAUCAGUCUUCAUCACUGAGAACUGCAUAUCACUGGGAUCCGAUCUCACUGAAGUCUGCAAGAAGGAAGUCCAGAUUCAGAUAUUAUUUAUUCAUGUAGCACCAUGUGCCAAGCAGUACACAGAUAAGAGUAAACUUGGGAUUCUGAAUUCAGUUCUCAAGAGAGAAGAGGUCCCAGGCAGAGUUAGAAGGCAACAGACAGAGUGACCACAUCACCAUUUGGACUGAGCUGGGCUUCCUUCAG